rfam:Beta vulgaris subsp. vulgaris chromosome 8, whole genome shotgun sequence.
CCGACCUUAGCUCAGUUGGUAGAGCGGAGGACUGUAGUUGGUCAAACAGAUGGUCGUUAGGUUGCUGGUUCGAAUCCGGCAGGUUGGA